AACCAAGGUGGAAAGGGCAAUUCCCUCUUUAAAUGUUCCCAAUUCCUUUUCUCUGCUGCGGUGCUUGGAGAAAUGUGUCCACAUUUUGCGGAACUAUUUUUCUGUUUAUCCCCAAAUCAGCUGUGAAUUUUUUUUCCUGCCAACUUUAAUUCUUUCUAGGCUUCUCGGUUCCGCUUGUCUUCUUGGAUUAGAGUCUCUUCAAGGCCAGCACCCCUGGAAUCUCAGCUCCAUUUGCAAGGUUCUGCAAAGAAAAAUAACACAAUAUUCUGAAAAUACAGUGCCCAGGACUACUCAACACCACCCUGCAUAAAGGAAAAUUAUCAGACAUUGAACAGAGGGAGUAUCUGAGCCUGGAGCUGAAUUAUCAAUGUACUAGAGUUAAAACUGAAGAUGGGGUGAGAAUUCAGGAGACGGGCCUCCCUGGUGGCGCAGGCAGUUG